GCCAGCAGCCAUAUCACUCUGCAGCUCACAACUGGCAACCCACUGAAGCUAAGCAGGUGUGAGCCUGAUCAAUACCUGGAUGGGAGACCUCCUGGGAAAAACUAAGGUGGCUGCUGGAA
rfam:Lepisosteus oculatus linkage group LG1, whole genome shotgun sequence.